UACAGAGGGGGCAAGCGUUGUUCGGAAUCAUUGGGCGUAAAGGGCGCGUAGGUGGUCUUGUAUGUCUACCGUGAAAGCGUACGGCUCAACCGUAUUUAGUCGGUAGAAACUGCAGGACUUGAGGCUGGGAGGGGCUGGUGGAAUUCCCUGUGUAGCGGUGAAAUGCGUAGAGAUGGGGGAGAACACUCGUGGCGAAGGCGGCCAGCUGGACCAGUUCUGACACUGAGGCGCGAUAGCGUGGGGAGCAAACAGG
rnacentral:rRNA from 1 species